UCGAGAGGCUUCGGCAAUGGGGGAAACCCUGACCGAGCGACGCCGCGUGGGUGAUGAAGAUUCUCGGAUCGUAAAACCCUGUCAGGUGGGAUGAAAAACCAUUCGGUUAAUACCCGAGUGGCUUGACAGUACCACCAGAGGAAGCUCCGGCCAACUCCGUGCCAGCAGCCGCGGUAACACGGGGGGAGCAAGCGUUGUUCGGAUUUACUGGGCGUACAGGGAGCGUAGGCGGUUGGGUAAGCCUUUCGUGAAAUCUCCGGGCCUAACCCGGAAAGUGCGGAGGGGACUGCUCGGCUAGAGGAUGGGAGAGGAGCGCGGAAUUCCCGGUGUAGCGGUGAAAUGCGUAGAGAUCGGGAGGAAGGCCGGUGGCGAAGGCGGCGCUCUGGAACAUAUCUGACGCUGAGGCUCGAAAGCGUGGGGAGCAAACAGGAUUAGAUACCCGAGUAGUCCCUGAGCGGGCUGGCAAGGCGCAU
rnacentral:rRNA from 1 species